CUGCCAUACUGAAGAAGAAAGUCACAUGCAUAUCUAUGGGUAAACGUGAGCAAUUAGAGGAAGGGAGCAGGAAAAAGAGAAAAAUCAAUGAUGAAAGAGAAUCAUUGAUCGACUGCCUCCUGCACGUCCUACACUGGAGAUCGAGCUGCAACCCAGGUUUUGAAAAGAAACAUUCAGAAAGCAUGCAGAUUCUAGCGCUCAAAAACAGGUACUUUAACAAACACAAGAGAGAAACCGAAUGACGAGUUAGAAGGUUUGCGGUGCUGACAUUUGGAUACAUUUGCACCUGGGAUGUUGGACACGCUUGCACCUGGAAACCAAAGUCUCUGGUAAUAAAAUCCUUCAUGGCAGUGACCGUUCUCUGAGAAAACUGCACAUGCUUUGGAAAAAUAAAACUCUGUUUGCC